UCGGUGAUUCAUAAUAAACUGGCGAAUCGCAUUUAGCGAUGGACCAUUCAAGUUUCUGACCCAUCAGCUUGACGGUAGGGUAUUGGCCUACCGAGGCAGCAACGGGUAACGGGGAAUUAGGGUUCGAUUCCGGAGAGGGAGCCUGAGAGACGGCUACCACAUCUAAGGAAGGCAGCAGGCGCGCAAAUUACCCAAUCCUGACACAGGGAGGUAGUCACAAGAAAUAACAAUACAGGGCUAAUGUCUUGUAAUUGGAAUGAUGGUGACCCAAACCCUCACCAGAGUAGCAAUUGGAGGGCAAGUCUGGUGCCAGCAACCGCGGUAAUUCCAGCUCCAAUAGCGUAUAUUAAACUUGUUGCAGUUAAAAAGCUCGUAGUUGAAUUUUAGCGUGUUCGAGUUUGCCAUUCGU
rnacentral:rRNA from 1 species